AGAUAAUAGAUACCCAGGUAGUCCACGCCCUAAACGAUGUCUACUAGUUGUUGGUGGAGUAAAAUCCAUGAGUAAACGCAGCUAACGCGUGAAGUAGACCGCCUGGGGAGUACGGUCGCAAGAUUAAAACUCAAAGGAAUUGACGGGGGCCCGGCACAAGCGGUGGAUUAUGUGGAUUAAUUCGAUGCAACGCGAAAACCUUAACCUGGCCUUGACAUGCCACUAACGAAGCAGAGAUGCAUUAGGUGCCCGUAACGGGAAAGUGGACACAGGUGCUGCAUGGCUGUCGUCAGCUCGUGUCGUGAGAUGUUGGGUUUAAAGUUCCCGCAACGAGCGCAACCCUUGCCAUUAAUUGCCAUCAUUUAGUUGGGCACUUUAAUGGGACUGCCGGUGACAAACCGGAGGAAGGUGGGGAUGACGUCAAGUCCUCAUGGCCCUUAUGGCCA
rnacentral:rRNA from 1 species